rnacentral:rRNA from 1 species
UACAGAGGUCUCGAGCGUUGUUCGGAUUCAUUGGGCGUAAAGGGUGCGUAGGUGGCGCUGUAAGUCGGGUGUGAAAUCCUGGGGCUUAACCCCGGAACUGCAUUCGAUACUGCAGUGCUUGAGGACUGGAGAGGAGACUGGAAUUAUGGUGUAGCAGUGAAAAUGCGUAGAGAUCAUGAGGAAGACCGUGGCGAAAGGCGGGUCUCUGGACAGUUCCUGACACUGAGGCACGAAAGGCCCAGGGGGAGCAAAACGGGGAUUAGAAAACCCCUGGUA